CUCACACUGUUAAGGAGAGAACAUGGUGUCACAUACUGAAAAUGCAUCAGGGAAAAUGUUGGUUAAAUAUGAGGAACAGCUCUGCAAAGCUAAGCUGUGAUAGGUCAGAAAAGGAGUUGCCAAGGCAAGCAGGAAAGACAGUGAGAGGAGAGCGGACGAAUGGAGAGAAGCCUCUGACAAACAUCUCGGCUGCCUGAUGCUUAAUCUGAUCCUCCAGGACACCCUGCCUCUGAGAGAUUUUCUAGGUGGAUGAGCAAGAAAUCAGACUAAUCACUUCAAGUUUCACAUCUACCUGGGACUACAGACCUGUGUAGGGAAGAAACCUGCCCUUCUUUAACCUCACCCUAAUUCAUCCGUGAGCCUCUGCUGUGAGGAACCAUUGCUACUGGGACAGUGACGGUGAUGAUUCCUUCUUCAGCCUUUCUUCAUGGGAUAAAAAACAAAAUCAAAAUAUCUGAAGCCCAUGAAAGCACAAAGGCAAAACAUUCUCACUUUAAAAGUUAUGGGUCUUGCUACGUAGUGCAGGAUGGCCUUGAACUCCC